rnacentral:tRNA from 1 species
UCCCUUGUAGCUUAGUCGGUAAAGAUUCUGCCUGCAGUGCAGGAGACCCAGGUUUGAUCCCUGGGUUGGGAA